ensembl:snRNA U6 U6 spliceosomal RNA
GUGCUCACUGUGGCAGCACAAAUACUAAAAUUGGAACGAUACAGAGAUUAGCAUGGCCACUGCACAAGGAUGACAUGCAAAUGCAUGAAGUGGUCAAUUUCUUU